AGACCCGAAACCCGGUGAUCUAGCCAUGGGCAGGUUGAAGGUUGGGUAACACUAACUGGAGGACCGAACCGACUAAUGUUGAAAAAUUAGCGGAUGACCUGUGGCUGGGGGUGAAAGGCCAAUCAAACCGGGAGAUAGCUGGUUCUCCCCGAAAGCUAUUUAGGUAGCGCCUCGUGAAUUCAUCUCCGGGGGUAGAGCACUGUUUCGGCUAGGGGGCCAUCCCGGCUUACCAACCCGAUGCAAACUGCGAAUACCGGAGAAUGUUAUCACGGGAGACACACGGCGGGUGCUAACGUCCGUCGUGAAGAGGGAAACAACCCAGACCGCCAGCUAAGGUCCCAAAGUCAUGGUUAAGUGGGAAACGAUGUGGGAAGGCCCAGACAGCCAGGAUGUUGGCUUAGAAGCAGCCAUCAUUUAAAGAAAGCGUAAUAGCUCACUGGUCGAGUCGGCCUGCGCGGAAGAUGUAACGGGGCUAAACCAUGCACCGAAGCUGCGGCAGCGAACGUAUCACCCAAGACAACUUUACGGAGUUGACGAUUGACGGAGCGAAGCGACGUCAAAGCGUUCAUUAAAGUCGAGUUGGCUUAGGGAUACGUUCGUUGGGUAGGGGAGCGUUCUGUAAGCCAGUGAAGGUGUGUCGUGAGGCAUGCUGGAGGUAUCAGAAGUGCGAAUGCUGACAUAAGUAACGAUAAAGCGGGUGAAAAGCCCGCUCGCCGGAAGACCAAGGGUUCCUGUCCAACGUUAAUCGGGGCAGGGUGAGUCGACCCCUAAGGCGAGGCCGAAAGGCGUAGUCGAUGGGAAACGGGUUAAUAUUCCCGUACUUGGUGUUACUGCGAAGGGGGGACGGAGAAGGCUAUGUUGGCCGGGCGACGGUUGUCCCGGUUUAAGCGUGUAGGUGUGUGUUCCAGGUAAAUCCGGUUCACUUUAACACUGAGGCGUGAUGACGAGGCACUACGGUGCUGAAGCAACAAAUGCCCUGCUUCCAGGAAAAGCCUCUAAGCAUCAGGUAACAUCAAAUCGUACCCCAAACCGACACAGGUGGUCAGGUAGAGAAUACCAAGGCGCUUGAGAGAACUCGGGUGAAGGAACUAGGCAAAAUGGUGCCGUAACUUCGGGAGAAGGCACGCUGACACGUAGGUGAAG
rnacentral:rRNA from 1 species